AGAGAUGAAGCUCAGUGGGAGAGCAUCUGCUUCGCAUGCAGAAGUUUCCAGGCUCAAUCCACAGCAUCUCCA